AAGGAUUUAAGUUAAAUAAACUGUCAACCUUCAAAGUUGGAAACAGGAGGUUCCUAAGCCUUA
rnacentral:tRNA from 1 species